rnacentral:rRNA from 1 species
UUCCGGUUGAUCCUGCCGGACCCGACUGCUAUCAGAGUGAGAUUAAGCCAUGCGAGUUAACGUAGCAAUACGUGGCGCACGGCUCAGUAACACGUAGUCAACAUGCCCAGAGGACGUGGAUAACCUCGGGAAACUGAGUCUAAACCGCGAUAAGUGAGGAUUUCUGGAAUGGUUCCUGACUAAAAUCUAUAUGGCCUCUGGAUUGGACUGCGGCCGAUCAGGCUGUUGGUGAGGUAAUGGCCCACCAAACCUGUAACCGGUACGGGCUCUGAGAGGAGGAGCCCGGAGAUGGGCACUGAGACAAGGGCCCAGGCCCUAUAGGGCGCAGCAGGCGCGAAACCUCUGCAAUAGGCGAAAGCCUGACAGGGUUACUCCGAGUGACUUUCGCUAAGAAAGUCUUUUGGCACCUCUAAAAAUGGUGCAGAAUAAGGGGUGGGCAAGUCUGGUGUCAGCCGCCGCGGUAAUACCAGCACCCCGAGUGGUCGGGACGAUUAUUGGGCCUAAAGCAUCCGUAGCCGGUUCUGCAAGUCCCCCGUUAAAUCCAGCUGCUCAACAGAUGGGCCGCGGAGGAUACUACAGAGCUAGGAGGCAGGAGAGGCAAGCGGUACUCAGUGGGUAGGGGUAAAAUCCGUUGAUCCAUUGAAGACCACCAGUGGCGAAGGCGGCUUGCCAGAAUGCGCUCGACGGUGAGGGAUGAAAGCUGGGGGAGCAAACCGGAUUAGAUACCCGGGUAGUCCCAG